rnacentral:rRNA from 1 species
UACGUAGGGUGCAAGCGUUGUCCGGAAUUAUUGGGCGUAAAGAGCUCGUAGGCGGUUUGUCGCGUCUGCUGUGAAAACUCGGGGCUUAACCCCGGGCCUGCAGUGGAUACGGGCAGACUAGAGUGCGGUAGGGGAGACUGGAAUUCCUGGUGUAGCGGUGAAAUGCGCAGAUAUCAGGAGGAACACCGAUGGCGAAGGCAGCUCACUGGGACGGUACUGACGCUGAGACGCGAAAGCGUGGGGAGCAAACAGG